rnacentral:rRNA from 1 species
GACGAACGCUGGCGGCGUGCUUAACACAUGCAAGUCGAACGGUGAAGCGCCUUCCUUUUUGGUGGGUGUGGAUGAGUGGCGAACGGGUGAGUAACACGUGAGUAACCUGCCCCCUUCUUCUGGAUAACCGCAUGAAAGUGUGGCUAAUACGGGAUAUUCUGGGUCUGUCGCAUGAUGGGUCUGUGAAAGAUAUUGUUUCGGUGGGGGAUGGGCUCGCGGCCUAUCAGCUUGUUGGUGGGGUGAUGGCCUACCAAGGCGGUGACGGGUAGCCGGCCUGAGAGGGUGGACGGUCACACUGGGACUGAGACACGGCCCAGACUCCGAGGGGAGGCAGCAGGGGGGAAUAGGGCACAAUGGGCGCAAGCCUGAUGCAGCGACGCCGCGUGAGGGAUGGAGGCCUGCGGGUUGUGAACCUCUUUCGCCAGUGAAGCAGGCCUGCCUCGUUUGUGGGUGGGUUGACGGUAGCUGGAUAAGAAGCGCCGGCUAACUACGUG